AUUCCUGGAGAGGGGGCCAUCAGGAGAGGGGGAAGGGAAAGAAUGAGGUUACAGGAAUUACUUGUCAGAGGACUGCAUAGCCUUUCAGACCAUGGAAUCGUUGCUUUCAGCUUCGGCUUCCUCAUCUGCAAAGCAUAAAUACGCAUCCAAUUUCACUGGGCUGCAAGAUAUCAAUAAGCCUUGCCUCUUUAAACUACUUAUGUACAAAUAAAAGUGAUGGUGAGAACCUGGCUCAGGAAAUGCAGUAGCAGGCCAUAUUGCAUCCAAAGGAAUUACUCACAGCUGUGCUGUGUGCAUUCUCUGUGGGCCUAGCAGGGAAGGGGACAGCCCUGUGGCAAUGGGCAUGACACGGAUGCUCCUGGAAUGCAGUCUCAGUGACAAGUUGUGUGUCAUCCAGGAGAAGCAGUAUGAAGUGAUUAUCGUCCCAACUUUGUUGGUUACUAUCUUCCUCAUCCUUCUUGGGGUCAUCCUGUGGCUUUUUAUCAGAGAACAAAGAACUCAACAGCAGCGUUCUGGACCUCAAGGCAUUGCCCCUGUUCCUCCACCUAGGGACCUAAGCUGGGAAGCAGGACAUGGAGGAAAUGUG
rnacentral:lncRNA from 10 species